GUCGAGAAUCUUUCACAAUGGGGGCAACCCUGAUGGAGCGACGCCGCGUGGAGGAUAAGGUCUUCGGAUUGUAAACUCCUGUCAUGCGUGAACAAGGUUGCUUGGUUAAUAACUGGGCAAAUUGAUGGUAACGCAAGAGGAAGAGACGGCUAACUCUGUGCCAGCAGCCGCGGUAAUACAGAGGUCUCAAGCGUUGUUCGGAAUCACUGGGCGUAAAGGGUGCGUAGGUGGCGUGGUAAGUCAGAUGUGAAAGCCCGGGGCUCAACCUCGGAACUGCAUCCGAUACUGCCAUGCUAGAGUACUGGAGAGGUGACUAGAAUUCUCGGUGUAGCAGUGAAAUGCGUAGAUAUCGAGAGGAAUACCAAAGGCGUAGGCAGGUCACUGGACAGUUACUGACACUGAGGCACGAAGGCCAGGGGAGCGAACGGGAUUAGAUACCCGUGUAGUCC
rnacentral:rRNA from 1 species